rnacentral:rRNA from 1 species
UACGAAGGGGGCUAGCGUUGUUCGGAAUUACUGGGCGUAAAGCGUAUGCAGGCGGACUUUUAAGUCGGGGGUGAAAUCCCGAGGCUCAACCUCGGAACUGCCUUCGAUACUGGAAGUCUUGAGUCCGGGAGAGGUGAGUGGAACUCCGAGUGUAGAGGUGAAAUUCGUAGAUAUUCGCAAGAACACCAGUGGCGAAGGCGGCUCACUGGCCCGAUACUGACGCUGAGGCUCGAAAGCGUGGGGAGCAAACAGG